rnacentral:rRNA from 1 species
AGAGCGAACGCUGGCGGCAGGCCUAACACAUGCAAGUCGAGCGCCCCGCAAGGGGAGCGGCAGACGGGAGAGUAACACGUGGGAACGUACCCUUCAGUUCGGAACAACCCAGGGAAACUUGGGCUAAUACCGGAUACGUCCGUAAGGAGAAAGAUUUAUCGCUGAAGGAUCGGCCCGCGUCUGAUUAGCUAGUUGGUGGGUAACGCUCACCAAGGCGACGAUCAGUAGCU